AUUGAACGCUGGCGGCAGGCCUAACACAUGCAAGUCGAACGAGUGGCGUACGGGUUACUAAUGUCUGUGAAUCUGCCUGUUGGCGGGGUUUCACUACUGGACACGGUACCUAAUACCUCCUUCCAUCUCAUGUGCCCUGGUGGGAUUAGCUAGUUGGGGGGGUAACGGCGCACAAAGGCGACGAUCCCUAGCUGGGUUGAGCGGAUGACCAGCCACACUGGAACUGAGACACGGUCCAGACUCCUACGUGAGGCAGCAGUGGGGAAUAUUGCACAAUGGGCGCAAGCCGGAUGCAGCCAUGCCGCUUGUAUGAAGAAGGCCUUCGGGUUGUAAAGUACUUUCAGCGGGGAGGCGUUACCCGCAGAAGAAGCAACGGCUAACUCCGUGCCAGCAGCCGCGGUAAUAG
rnacentral:rRNA from 1 species